AACCUUAUGGACCUGCGGGCGUAUACCUGCGGAAGGAUCAUUAAUAAAUGUUACUUCGGUAACUUAAUUAAUCCCUAACACCUGUGCAUCUUGUCGCUUCGGCGUCAUUUUAUAAACAUCAGUGUAAUGAAUGUAAAGUAUUAUAACAAAUACAACUUUCAGCAAUGGAUCU
rnacentral:misc_RNA from 1 species